rfam:Triticum aestivum genome assembly, contig: Triticum_aestivum_CS42_TGACv1_scaffold_576772_7BL
AUGCUACUCCCUCCGUCCGGAAAUACUUGUCAUCAAAAUGAACAGAAGGGGAUGUAUCUAGAUGUAUAUUAGUUCUAGAUACAUCCUUUUUUAUUCAUUUUGAUGACAAGUAUUCUCGGAAGGAGGGAGUAUAUG